UCGGAAUUACUGGGCGUAAAGCGCAUGCAGGUGGUUUGUUAAGUUCAGAUGUGAAGACCCGGGGCGUCAACCUCGGAAUAGCAUUUGAAACUAGGCAGACUAGAGUACUGUAGAGGGGGGUAGGAAUUUCUAGGUGUAGCGGUGAAAUAGCGUAGAGAUCUGAAGGAAUACCGGUGGCGAAGGCGGCCCCCUCGGACAGAUACUGACACUCAGAUGCGAAAGCGUGGGGAGCAAACAGGAUUAGAUACCCUGGUAG
rnacentral:rRNA from 1 species